rnacentral:rRNA from 1 species
AUUGAACGCUGGCGGCAGGCCUAACACAUGCAAGUCGAACGGUAACAGGGAGCUUGCUCCGCUGACGAGUGGCGAACGGGUGAGUAAUGCGUCGGAACGUGCCGAGUAGUGGGGGAUAACGCAUCGAAAGGUGUGCUAAUACCGCAUACGUACUGAGGUAGAAAGUGGGGGACCUUCGGGCCUCACGCUAUUCGAGCGGCCGACGUCUGAUUAGCUAGUUGGUGAGGUAAAGGCUCACCAAGGCGACGAUCAGUAGCGGGUCUGAGAGGAUGAUCCGCCACACUGGGACUGAGACACGGCCCAGACUCCUACGGGAGGCAGCAGUGGGGAAUUUUGGACAAUGGGCGCAAGCCUGAUCCAGCCAUGCCGCGUGUCUGAAGAAGGCCUUCGGGUUGUAAAGGACUUUUGUCCGGGAGCAAAUGCCUGGUGUUAAUAGCACUGGGAGCUGAGAGUACCGGAAGAAUAAGCACCGGCUAACUACGUGCCAGCCGCCGCGGUAAAAC